rnacentral:lncRNA from 1 species
AAAAAGAAAAAACCAAUGGUUCCAAUAGUUUCCCAAAUCAUGCUGAUGCUGCCUCCUGAGAAAUAUUUUCAGAAUCACUGAGAAAAAUGUAUGAAAUAGUUAAUGUCCUUGCUCUGUGUCAGUGGUAAGUUCCAGUUUGUUUAUUUUAUUGAGAAAAAGAAGGUAAUUAAUUAAUUAAGCAAUUAAUAUUUAUUUAUUUAUAUUUGAGAUGGAGUCUCACUCUGUUUGUUGCCCAGGCAGGAGUACAGUGACGCGAUCUCAGCUCACUGAAACCUCCACCUCCCAGGUUCAAGCAAUUCUCCUGCCUCUGCCUCCCGAGUAGCUGGGAUCACAGGCGUGUGCCACCACGCCUGGCUAAUUUUUGUAUUUUUAGUAGAGACGGGGUUUCACCAUGUUGGCCAGCCUGGUCCUGAACUCCUGACCUCAAGUGAUCCGCCCACCUCAGCCUCCCAAAAUGCUGCAAUUACAGGCAUGAGCCACUGCACCCCACCCAAUUAAUAUUUAAAAGUCUAAGUAAAUGAAAGGGGAACAACAUGGCUCAAUGGAGAAAUGUCUAAUUUAUAUAACAUCAUUGUUAUAUUGUACAAAAUGGAUGCACCUUAGGUGAGUUAAGCAUUCUGAAAAGACCAGGCUUUCUAGGAUACUGCUACAUUUUAGGAGAUUAGAAAUCAGUGGAAUUGGCACAGUCUUUGUCCGUUGAGUGGGUUUUCAUGGGUGUUCAUUGUACAUCUUUAAAAUGAGUGAAUGACUACAUACAUGAAUAAAAUCAAACAAGGACAAGCCUAUACUAACGAUGAAGAACCAAAAUUUAGGAUUAAUUUGAUUUAGUGUUAUUUAGGAUGGUUUUUAAAAAAGAUCAAGUCCCUAUCACAAAUUGCUCUGUUUAGAAUUCUACUGCAGGUUUUCCCUAAGCAUUCCUCAAGUGAUAAAGAUGUAAGUUACGAAGAAGGGACACAUAGGAACUAGAAGCACUUGUCAGCGUUUUCUUCUGGUGGUUGAGUCGUGUUUAUGUAGAAAGAAUAUACAAAUUAUGUGAAAAAAGGCUAAGGAAGGACCAACGAUGCGAGUGGAAUACAUUCUGAAAUGUGUUUUAUGAUCAAAAUAUCUGUGACCUACUGCGGUCCACUACAAAGAGGGAUUUAAGUGUUUAUAUCUGUAGGAAUGCCUACAGAUAGAUUUCAGUGAUAUUCAGGAAUCAGGUUCUCAGUCUUUGGUGCUUCAUGGAUUUUGAUUUUGUUGUUAUUCAAUAAGUGAAAGAAUAAAUAAAUAUGUCAGUGUAUAAAAAUGAAUAGAAUGAAGUUAUCUAACUAUGAAAGUAUGGGGUGAGGCAAGAAUUAUUAUUAAUAUAACAUAGAACCACUGGAGUUCAGUAAGUAAUGCUAUCUUUACCCCAAAAUGUAACCCCUUAAUGCAUCAAAGGGGUUACAUUUUGGGGUAAGGAUAAGUAAGCAAGAUUGUGAUGUAUGUUCUUGCUUUGAGUCAGUGAUGAGUUCAAGUGGCCACUUACUGCAGAGGGAAAAAAAUAAAUUAUGCCAUAAAAUAAUAAAUACCUAAAUGACUGAGCAAAGGAAAUGGGGAAGGCAUGUAUCAGUGGAAAGAAUAUCUCAGCUUUCUGUUAUUUGCUGUGCUUAUAUUCCUCAGAAUGAAAGCUCCUAGGUGAUUUAAGCAUUCUACUGUGGCCAUGAACUCUUAUGUGUUAGGAGCAUAGAAACCAAUGUAAGAGUCAAAGCACGUGUCUUAGUAUGAGUGGCUUGUUUAAAAAUAUUCACUGUACUGUUUACAAAAUGUUUAGUCAAAGAAGUUGACUAUGGUGUACUAUGGCAUUGAUAUGAAAUGUAUGUUAAUUAGUGGAUAUAUA